rnacentral:lncRNA from 1 species
AUGCACAAAAAUAUGAAGGAUGUGCUCAAGAGUUGGGCGUCCCUUAACUUGCCAUGUUUGGAUAAGCCUUGACUAGGUGUUUGACCUAGACAAGGACUCUAUCAUAUCUCUCUAUAUAAGAUGAGUUUCUUCAUAAAAGUUUAGGAGAAAUUAGAUAUUUGAGUUUUAUUUGUGCCAUCCAAAAAUCAGAUAGAAAUACCUUUGGGUCGUGGAGAUAUAAAAGAUGCAAGUUUGGGUGUCUAGAGAAAAAAACGUGAAGAAGAAGAGGGUCUUCUUCUUGGGUUUUUGUUUUCAUAUCUUUCCUCCCUCCGUCUUGAGUUU